AUACGUAGGGUGCGAGCGUUAAUCGGAAUUACUGGGCGUAAAGGGUGCGUAGGUGGUCAGACAAGUCCCAUGUCAAAGCAUGGUGCUUAACGCCAUAGGGGCGUGGGAAACUGUCGGACUAGAGUGCAGCAGGGGCAGGAGGAAUUCCCGGUGUAGCGGUGAAAUGCGUAGAUAUCGGGAAGAACACCGGUGGCGCAAGCGUUCUGCUGGGCUGUAACUGACACUGAGGCACGAAAGCUAGGGGAGCGAAAGGGAUUAGAUACCCCUGUAGUCCUAGCCGUAAACGAUGGACACUAGGUGUAGGCAGUAUCGACCCUGUCUGUGCCGUAGCCAACGCGUUAAGUGUCCCGCCUGGGGAGUACGGUCGCAAGAUUGAA
rnacentral:rRNA from 1 species